UGACGGGGAUAGCUCAGUUGGUAGAGCAUAGGACUCUUAAUCUCAGGGUCGAGGGUUCAAGGCCCACAUUGGGCAAAA